UCGCUCCUACCGAUUGGAUGAUCCGGUGAAAUUUUCGGACUGUCGCAUGUUGGUGGCAACACCUCAUGUGAUAGGAAGUUACUUAAACCUUAUUAUCUAGAGGAAGGAA
rnacentral:rRNA from 1 species